GAUGAACGCUGGCGGCGUGCCUAACACAUGCAAGUGGAGCGACGAACCCGGCUUCGGCCGGGGGCAAAGCCGCGAACGGGUGAGUAACACGUGGGUUACCUGCCCCGAUGACCGGGACAACCCGAGGAAACUCGGGCUAAUACCGGAUGUGCUCUUCGGAGGAAAGGAAGCUUCGGCCUCCGCAUCGGGAUGGGCCCGCGGCGCAUUAGCUAGUUGGUGGGGUAACGGCCUACCAAGGCGACGAUGCGUAGCUGGUCUGAGAGGACGAUCAGCCAAACUGGACCUGAGACACGGUGCAGACUCCUACGGGAGGCAGAAGUGGGGAAUAUUGGACAAUGGGCGGAAGCCUGUUCCAGCCAUGCCGCGUGUGUGAAGAAGGUCUUCGGAUUGUAAAGCACUUUAAGUUGGGAGGAAGGGUUGUAAGCUAAUAUCUUGCAGCUUUGACGUUACCAACAGAAUAAGCACCGGCUAACUCUGUGCCAGCAGCCGCAGUAACAC
rnacentral:rRNA from 1 species